AACGGGAGGCUGCAGUAGGGAAUCUUCCACAAUGGGCGCAAGCCUGAUGGAGCAACGCCGCGUGUGUGAUGAAGGCUUUCGGGUCGUAAAGCACUGUUGUAUGGGAAGAACGGGUUUAAGAGGAAAUGCUUAAACAGUGACGGUACCAUACCAGAAAGGGACGGCUAAAUACGUGCCAGCAGCCGCGGUAAUACGUAUGUCCCGAGCGUUAUCCGGAUUUAUUGGGCGUAAAGCGAGCGCAGACGGUUGCUUAAGUCUGAAGUGAAAGCCCACAGCUCAACUGUGGAAUGGCUUUGGAAACUGGGCAACUUGAGUGCAGUAGAGGUAAGUGGAACUCCAUGUGUAGCGGUGGAAUGCGUAGAUAUAUGGAAGAACACCAGUGGCGAAGGCGGCUUACUGGACUGCAACUGACGUUGAGGCUCGAAAGUGUGGGUAGCAAACAGGAUUAGAUACCCUGGUAGUCCACACCGUAAACGAUGGAUACUAGUUGUUAGAGGGUUUCCGCCCUUUAGUGNACAANCAAACGCAUUAAGUAUCCCGCCUGGGGAGUACGACCGCAAGGUUGAAACUCAAAGGAAUUGACGGGGACCCNCACAANCGGUG
rnacentral:rRNA from 1 species